GACAGAGGUCUCAAGCGUUGUUCGGAUUCAUUGGGCGUAAAGGGUGCGUAGGCGGCGCGGUAAGUCGGGUGUGAAAUCUCGGGGCUUAACUCCGAAACUGCAUUCGAUACUGCCGUGCUUGAGGACUGGAGAGGAGACUGGAAUUUACGGUGUAGCGGUGAAAUGCGUAGAUAUCGUAAGGAAGACCAGUGGCGAAGGCGGGUCUCUGGACAGUUCCUGACGCUGAGGCACGAAGGUCAGGGGAGCAAACGGG
rnacentral:rRNA from 1 species